rnacentral:tRNA from 1 species
GCAAGUGUAGCUCAGUUGGUAGAGCGCCACCUUGCCAAGGUGGAAGUCGCCAGUUCGAACCUGGUCACUUGCUCCA